rnacentral:rRNA from 1 species
UACGUAGGAGGCGAGCGUUGUCCGGAAUUACUGGGCGUAAGGCGUGCGCAGGCGGCUUCUCAAGUCAGGGGUGAAAGCCCAGAGCUCAACUCUGGAAUUGCCUUUGAGACUGAGUGGCUUGAGUACGAGAGAGGUGAGUGGAAUUCCCAGUGUAGAGGUGAAAUUCGUAGAUAUUGGGAAGAACACCGGUGGCGAAGGCGGCUCACUGGCUCGUAACUGACGCUCAUGCACGACAGCGUGGGGAUCAAACAGG